rnacentral:lncRNA from 1 species
GAUUUGGAAUUUAAUUUCGAAAUUAGUUGGGUUCAUAAACGUGAUGUUGAACACAGUGCGUUGUUCAUGUUCGCAUCUUGAAAGCGAUUGCGAAAUCGAUGUUUGGAGUUUAGAUUUUGGAAUGGAUUCGCUUUUGGAUGACGAGUUGGAAUGAUCGAGAUUGAAAAACUGAUUCAGAAAACUCGAUUUUGGGAUUCGCUUUUGGUAAAAGUUGCGAAAUCGAUUUUGAGUUUGAUUUACUAGAAACUGGAUUUGGAAGUUGAUGUUUGGAGUCGAUUUCUUGCCUGGAUGUUGAUGUGAGGUUCUUUGAUGAUAUCGAUUUGAGUUGUGGUGGUUAAUAGAUGAUUCGCAUCUACAGGGAAGCAACAAUUAUGAAUGUUUAAUUGAAGGAUUGGAGUCGAUAUUGGAACGGGAUAUAUGGGAGCAGUUAGCAUAUUCAAUGUUCGCAUAUUGAUCUUGUUUGGUUUCGCAUCUGCAAUGUUGGUUCAGUUCGCAUUUGGAGUCAAAAUGCGAAGUCAUCUCAUUUAUGAUUCGCAUUUGGUGUGAAUGCAGUUUGCAUUUGGUGUUUAGAUCGUAGGUUUUUGAGAAUCAUCGAGAAAAUGUGCGAAGGGUCAAAAUGCGAAAUCAAAAAGUAAGGAACGUGCGAAAUCUUUUACAGUUAAAUGAGUGGGGAAGAAAGCAAAAAGUUUCAGAUUUGACCCCUUAUAUUUUUGCGAAAUGCCACAAGUAGUCCAACUUCGCAUGAUUGGAGAACAAAAGGGAAAAAGAUUCGAAAAUAGUCCCUGGAGUUUCGCAUUUUUGGAAAUAAAUACUUAACUUCGCAAAUAGCAAUAAAAGCUGAGAAAUUGUCUUUGUUUAGAUCAAUUCAAAAUCAAAAUCUUAUUCUAAAUUUUUUUUUUCACUAUUCAUCACGUGCCCAAUCAAUUUCAACAAAUUCAUUUUGUUUAAACAAUUUACUGUUCAUCCGAUUAUAAGCCCAUUUAAUUGAAUUGUCACUGUCAUUGAUCGGAUUAUUGAGCCCAAAUAGAAUAUGAACCCUGUUCUUCAGCUGAGUCCAAUUCAACAUCUGUUCUCAAUUAUUUGUUUCGCAUAGUUACAUAGAUGAAUAGCUGAGAAUCAAACGAAAAAUUGAUUUAUUUUGAAUCGAGCCUUUGUUACUAUGCUCAGACCUCCAUGGUGUGAUUUCAAUUUCAUCUGGUUUUUGUUCGCAUGUGUGAACGUUUUGAGGGUUAAAUGUGUUUGAUUCUGUUUCGUUCGCAUCCUCUUGAUUUGGGGUCAAUAAUUGAUUUCGAUUUUGUUUGUACUUGGAAUGAGUCGAUUGAAAAACGGAUGUUGAUUCAUCUGAUGUUUGUUGAUCGAAUUGAAAGAGUUUUGAGAAAUUUUGACUUGUGAAGGCUAAAGACAAAUUAGUUUUCGAUUUGGUCUAGAAUCAAUGUCGAUUUCAUCUAUGUCAUAUCUUCAUUAGAAUUGUUUGAAAAUCGAGUCCUAAUACUAUUGAUUGGAGUCUGAAAUCGAAUCACAAAAUCGAUCGAUUGAAGUCAAAAUAGAGUUCGAUUAUUGAAGAAUCGCUUGAAAUCGAAAUUUGAUUCAAGAUGUCUAGCCUCAAUUUCGACUGAUUUUUUUGGAAAGCAGAUGAAUCUUGAAGUUAACAGUUGAUUGAAUCAAGUAUUUGGAAGUCAAAGAAUCAGAUUUGAGAAUAUGAUUUUGAUUAGAAUCGAUGAUGAUUAGAGUCGAUUGAUGAACAAAUUGUCGAUGCGAAGUCAAGAUGGAAUUGAUAAUCGAUUUUGAUUGGAAAGUUGGAAUCGAUGGUCAGUUUGUGAUGUCGUGUCGCUGUUAAUGAAAAACGAAACUGGAUUUCUGAUUAAGGGUCGAACAAUCGAUUAUUUUGGUUGAAUAGAAAUUGGAUUUGUGAUUAUUUGAUGUCGAGUUUUGAUUUUGGAGUCGAAGAUCUGGGAUUGUGGUUGAGAGUCUCAUUUACGGAAUUGAUCUCAUAUUUGAGAGUCGAGCAUCAAGCCUGGAAGUCUAGACUUGACAGGUUUAAAGUCAAUUGAGUGUUCGCAUCUAUGGAUUGUGUUCAAUGUGUGCUGAUUUUUUUUAGGUUCGCAUAUGGGUGAAUCAACAUCGAGUUCGCAAUCUGGAUAUUUUUUGGAUAUAUUCGCAUAUAAGGACAACAAGAUUCUCAUUUGGUGUGAAUGCAGUUUGCAUUUGGUGUUUAGAUCGUAGGUUUUUGAGAAUCAUCGAGAAAAUGUGCGAAGGGUCAAAAUGCGAAAUCAAAAAGUAAGGAACGUGCGAAAUCUUUUACAGUUAAAUGAGUGGGGAAGAAAGCAAAAAGUUUCAGAUUUGACCCCUUAUAUUUUUGCGAAAUGCCACAAGUAGUCCAACUUCGCAUGAUUGGAGAACAAAAGGGAAAAAGAUUCGAAAACAGUCCCUCGAGUUUCGCAUUUUUGGAAAUAAAUACCCAACUUCGCAAAUAGCAAUAAAAGCUGAGAAAUUACAACAUUUUCAGUUCUGGUCCCUGCAGUUUGUGCGAAUUAACGCUUUAUGCCCGGUUUCGCAAAUGGGCUAGAGUUUCGCAUAUUUGACUGUUUUUGGCACAACGGGUCCCUGUAAGUUUUAGAAAGUGAAAAUAUCUACCCGAUUUUUGAAAAAUCUUGCAACUUUCACCCGAAAAGUCAAAAAUUUUCAUAAAUUGGAAAUUUUUUUGUGGCCUUUUCGUGAUUGUUUUUCCAUGCAAGAUUUUUGGUGAUUCAUUUUUGGUACACAUCAAGGGGGAGUAUCGUGAAGUUUAUUCCUCGGGCGCUUCUCAUCCUUAGUGGGUUUU